rnacentral:lncRNA from 1 species
AUAGGCAAAGGCCAAGGCAAACGCAACGCCUCCUCCUCUGCUUCUUCCUCUGCUGCUACUGCUAGUGCUAAUCCCUUCCUAGUUCCUACUGCUCGUGCUCAAGCUCAAGCUCCGGUCUCCAACCUCGAGGUCAAUCGCAGCAGGAGAGGAGAAAAGGAUGGAGGUGGAGAUGAUGGAGGACGACGUGUUCUUCGCCGAGCUCAGCAAGCGGAUAUCGCUCCUCAUCACGGACGACGACGAGGCGGCCGACUUCGGCGCCGCACGCUUCCCCGUCUCCGCCGCCGCGCCCAUCCCGGGAUUCUCGCUCGCCCAUGUGCCGAUGGGCGCGUCGAUGGUGGCGCCACCGGCCUACACGUUGUACCACCACGCCGCCAGCUACAACAACGGCGCCGGCAUGAUCGGCGCCGGCGACAACGCCGCCGUCAGGGCGUGGCAGCAGCAGCAGCAGCAGCUGUGCGGCAGCAAGGGCACCGGCGUGUUCAUCCCCCGGUCGUCGCCGGGAUCCGUCCACCCCAAGAAGAAGGGCAAGAGCAAGGGCAACGUGCACAAGGCGGUACGGGGCCAAGCGGCGCCGGCGAAGAAACAAUCCUCUCAAAAAUGAAGAAAAAAAAGAAAGAGAAAAAAAACAGGCACAACUAACUCCAAUUGCAGUGCUGAAUUGUCAGUGGAAUUAAUUAAAUUAAUUAUGUACUAUACACAUAUAUAUAUAUACAUAGAUAUAUAUAUAUGCGCUAAAUAACCAGUUGCUCCCACGGCCAACGUGUGAUGGGAGCAACGGGGGCACCACCACGCCACCAGCAAGUUACUGCUAGGGUUGCUGUAUGUGUAUAAUAUAGUAAGCUGGUGUCCGUAAAGUGGUGCCAUGGUUUUCUUUUUCUUUCUCUCUCUCCUUGGCUUUUAAUAAUUCAAUUAAUUAUUUAUUAUUUUUUGUAUUUCUUUUCUUUCUAUCUCAACACUUUUGUAAGAUGGAAUAUAUAGAUUGGUGUGGUAGUACUACUGUACUAGUACUAAUUAUAAGCAAUUAAGGAAUGGAAUGGAGCCGGUGAUGAUUGGU